rnacentral:rRNA from 1 species
AGUAGAACGCUGAAGAGAGGAGCUUGCUCUUCUUGGAUGAGUUGCGAACGGGUGAGUAACGCGUAGGUAACCUGCCUGGUAGCGGGGGAUAACUAUUGGAAACGAUAGCUAAUACCGCAUAAAAUUGAUUAUUGCAUGAUAAUUAAUUGAAAGAUGCAAUUGCAUCACUACCAGAUGGACCUGCGUUGUAUUAGCUAGUUGGUGAGGUAACGGCUCACCAAGGCGACGAUACAUAGCCGACCUGAGAGGGUGAUCGGCCACACUGGGACUGAGACACGGCCCAGACUCCUACGGGAGGCAGCAGUAGGGAAUCUUCGGCAAUGGGGGGAACCCUGACCGAGCAACGCCGCGUGAGUGAAGAAGGUUUUCGGAUCGUAAAGCUCUGUUGUAAGAGAAGAACGGGUGUGAGAGUGGAAAGUUCACACUGUGACGGUAUCUUACCAGAAAGGGACGGCUAACUACGUGCCAGCAGCCGAGGUAAUACGUAGGUCCCGAGCGUUGUCCGGAUUUAUUGGGCGUAAAGCGAGCGCAGGCGGUUAGAUAAGUCUGAAGUUAAAGGCUGUGGCUUAACCAUAGUAUGCUUUGGAAACUGUUUAACUUGAGUGCAGAAGGGGNAGUGGAUUCCAUGUGUAGCGGUGAAAUGCGUAGAUAUAUGGAGGAACACCGGUGGCGAAAGCGGCUCUCUGGUCUGUAAC